rnacentral:lncRNA from 1 species
AUUGCAGAGGCCGUCAAUCUUUGGCGAAGUAUACUUGCUCUUAAUGGCAACUUUGUUGAGUUCUUGAUAAUCUAUACAUCUCAUAUAUCUGUCUUGUUUCAUGACAAACGAGGCUGGGGCUCCUUAAAUGUAACACCUCCAAAUUUUCAUAAAUCUUGAAGUGUUACCAAGAACUCACCUUUCUUUGUAUUAAAUGCGUAAUAAUAAUAAUAAUAAUAAUAAUAAUAAUAAUAAUAAUAAUAAUAAUAAUAAUAAUAAUAAUAAUAAUGACUAGAAUAUUCACAUAUUUAAAUUAAUACAUGGAAAUUGUAUCCUAAAAAAAAAUAAUCUCCUCGCUAAUUAAAUGACAUGUCCUUGAACAAACUAAAGUAGUAAAUUGGAAGAUAAAAAACGUAAUGCUUUUUUGUUUUUUGAAUCCUCUUGGCAGUCUGUAUCACCAUCUUGCCGCAUUCCAAUCGACCCGAACUAACCUGAAAAAUUAUUAUAAAAGCGAGUAUUUAAAUACCAAGUAAGAUAUGUACAGUUUUCAUAGACAAUUAUAUAACAAUUAAAUAAAUACUUUAUACCACUCUUUUCUUAUGGAGUAUAUCGGUGACAAAGUGACACACCCAUCAUAGAUCCUCUUAAAUACUCAACGAAUUUCAUAUCUCUUAUUAACGAACUUGAAGGUCCACUAACAAUUCAUGCAUAUUUAAUUAAAUACAUAAAAGCAUAAUAAAACAAACUACUUUUAAAAAAGUAUUUUACCUUGAUAGAUUUGAAAAGUUGUAAUACAUCAUAAAAUAAUGCAUGUGAAAACCUUUUUCUUUUCCUCUCUCUUCUAUGGCUCUCU